rnacentral:rRNA from 1 species
GCAGUCGAGGGGCAGCAUUUUAGUUUGCUUGCAAACUAAAGAUGGCGACCGGCGCACGGGUGAGCUAACACGCUAUCCAACCUGCCGAUAACUCGGGGAUAGCCUUUCGAAAGAAAGAUUAAUAUCCGAUAGUAUAUUAAAACCGCAUGGUUUUACUAUUAAAGAAUUUCGGUUAUCGAUGGGGAUGCGUUCCAUUAGUUUGUUGGCGGGGUAACGGCCCACCAAGACUACGAUGGAUAGGGGUUCUGAGAGGAAGGUCCCCCACAUUGGAACUGAGACACGGUCCAAACUCAUACGGGAGGCAGCAGUGAGGAAUAUUGGUCAAUGGACGAGAGUCUGAACCAGCCAAGUAGCGUGAAGGAUGACUGCCCUAUUGGGUUGUAAACUUCUUUUAUAUGGGAAUAAAGUAUUCCACGUGUGGGANUUUUGUAUGUACCAUAUGAAUAAGGAUCGGCUAACUCCGUGCCAGCAGCCGCGGUAAUACGGAGGAUCCGAGCGUUAUCCGGAUUUAUUUGGGUUUAAAGGGAGCGUAGGUGGAUUGUUAAGUCAGUUGUGAAAGUUUGCGGCUCAACCGUAAAAUUGCAGUUGAAACUGGCAGUCUUGAGUACAGUAGAGGUGGGCGGAAUUCGUGGUGUAGCGGUGAAAUGCUUAGAUAUCACGAAGAACUCCGAUUGCGAAGGCAGCUCACUAGACUGCAACUGACACUGAUGCUCGAAAGUGUGGGUAUCAAACAGGAUUAGAUACCCUGGUAGUCCACACAGUAAACGAUGAAUACUCGCUGUUUGCGAUAUACAGUAAGCGGCCAAGCGAAAAGCAUUAAGUAUUCCACCUGGGGAGUACGCCGGCAACGGUGAAACUCAAAGGAAUUGACGGGGGCCCGCACAAGCGGAGGAACAUGUGGUUUAAUUCGAUGAUACGCGAGGAACCUUACCCGGGCCUUAAAUUGCAUUUUGAAUAAUCUGGAAACAGGUUAGCCGCAAGGCAAAUGUGAAGGUGCUGCAUGGUUGUCGUCAGCUCGUGCCGUGAGGUGUCGGCUUAAGUGCCAUAACGAGCGCAACCCUUAUCUUUAGUUACUAACAGGUCAUGCUGAGGACUCUAGAGAGACUGCCGUCGUAAGAUGUGAGGAAGGUGGGGAUGACGUCAAAUCAGCACGGCCCUUACGUCCGGGGCUACACACGUGUUACAAUGGGGGGUACAGAAGGCAGCUACCUGGCGACAGGAUGCUAAUCCCAAAAACCUCUCUCAGUUCGGAUCGAAGUCUGCAACCCGACUUCGUGAAGCUGGAUUCGCUAGUAAUCGCGCAUCAGCCAUGGCGCGGUGAAUACGUUCCCGGGCCUUGUACACACCGCCCGUCAAGCCAUGAAAGCCGGGGGUACCUGAAGUACGAACCGCAAGGAGCUCCUAGGAAAC